rnacentral:rRNA from 1 species
AUUGAACGCUGGCGGCAGGCCUAACACAUGCAAGUCGAGCGGAGCGGCGGACGGGUGCGUAAUGCCUAGGAAUCUGCCUGGUCGUGGGGGAUAACGUCCGGAAACGGGCGCUAAUACCGCAUACUAUCAGAUGAGCCUAGGUCGGAUUAGCUAGUUGGUGGGGUAAAGGCCUACCAGGGCGACGAUCCGUGACUGGUCUGAGAGGAUGAUCAGUCACAAUGGAACUGAGAGACGGUGCAGACUCCGACGGGAGGCAGCAGUGGGGAAGAUGGGACAAGGGGCGAAAGCCUGAUCCAGGCAUGCGGCGGGUGUGAAGAAGGUCUGCGGAUUGUAAAGCACUGUAAGUUGGGAGGCGUUACCAACAGAAGAAGCACCGGGUAACUUCGUGCCAGGAGGGGCGGUAAUUG